rnacentral:rRNA from 1 species
UGGGGAAUAUUGGACAAUGGAGGGAACUCUGAUCCAGCAAUUCUGUGUGUGUGAAGAAGGUUUUAGGACUGUAAAACACUUUUAGUAGGGAAGAAAAAAAUGACGGUACCUACAGAAGAAGCAACGGCUAAAUACGUGCCAGCAGCCGCGGUAAUACGUAUGUUGCGAGCGUUAUCCGGAAUUAUUGGGCUUAAAGGGCAUCUAGGCGGUAAGACAAGUUGAAGGUGAAAACCUGUGGCUCAACCAUAGGCUUGCCUACAAAACUGUUGAACUAGAGUACUGGAAAGGUGGGUGGAACUACACGAGUAGAGGUGAAAUUCGUAGAUAUGUGUAGGAAUGCCGAUGAUGAAGAUAACUCACUGGACAGAAACUGACGCUGAAGUGCGAAAGCUAAGGGAGCAAACAGG